rnacentral:lncRNA from 1 species
AGCAGAUUCAAUAAAAAAAAGCAUAAAGUAUUCCUUCUUUACAGAAAUCCAAAGAAAAAUUAAAAUGUGAAAUCUCCAAAUGCACAAAAGGCUGGUCUGUGCCUCCCCUCAAAUAAUGUGACCUGCAAAGCUGAGCCGGAGCUUCAAGGAAAAUAAUUGGACAUUCUGCAGAAAGGAAGAAUUCAAGGCAUUCUUUCAAAGGAACCCAGAGGAGCCAAAGUUUGACUUUGGGUCAAGGAGUUAUACCAACAUGUCCAUACCAAUUAGCAGAAAUGAUAAAUGCGAAGCCAGCAGAGUAAGAAGUAGAGAACAGGAAUGGGACCAGAGCUUGGCUGGACUCAGUCCCUUGGAUUUCCAUGAGUCAUAGAUAUACUGAUAACAAUUUGAUUUGGCUUUAAAGUUAUGCUUCUUCUCC